UACGAGGGGGCAAGCGUUGUUCGGAAUUAUUGGGCGUAAAGGGUGCGUAGGCGGUCUGACAGUCUGAUGUGAAAUCUAUGGGCUCAACCCAUAGUCUGCAUCGGAAACUGUCGGGCUUGAGUAUGGGAGAGGUGAGGUGGAAUUUCCGGUGUAGCGGUGAAAUGCGUAGAUAUCGGAAGGAACACCUGUCGGCGAAAGCGGACUCACUGGACCAUUAC
rnacentral:rRNA from 1 species